rnacentral:rRNA from 1 species
UACGUAGGGUGCGAGCGUUAAUCGGAAUUACUGGGCGUAAAGCGUGCGCAGGCGGUUCUCCAAGUCCGUUGUGAAAGCCCCGGGCUCAACCUGGGAAUGGCAGUGGAAACUAGGGGACUGGAAUCUGGCAGAGGGGGGUGGAAUGCCGCGUGUAGCAGUGAAAUGCGUAGAUAUCUGGAGGAACACCGGUGGCGAAGGCGGCAUCCUGGACCGAUACUGACGCUGAGGAGCGAAAGCCAGGGGAGCAAACGGG